GACAGGAAACCCAGACACACUACAAAAACCUUACUGCAAUAUAUUCCUAGUAGUAAACACCAUGUAAUAGGCAAGCUUCUGCAUAUAAAUAAUCAGAGAUCAUGUAGUUAUGGUUAUCCAUCAAUUAAGUCAUAUUUGUUCAUCACAGAUUAUAAUGUUGAUGUAAUGUGGGUCCAUUUUCUGACUAGGAGGAGCUAAGAUGAGAGGUGGAGAGAUGAUUCUCCUCUAUCUGACUGGAACAGUGGGAUGUCUUCAGUUCUGCCUCCUGAUAACACACUGUUACACCCAUCACCAUGUUUCUCUACCCAGUGUUUCUCCUCUCUGCACUUGUUGGUGGCAGUUAUGAAAAUUACAUAAAACCAACUUCAGAGACAGAACAUGGCGUGGAGGGAAGCAAUGUUACACUGUUUUGCAACUACUCAGGGUCAUCAAUAUUGUCACGACUUCCACCGAAGUCGUUUCCUCUCCUUGUUCGGGCGGUGUUCGGCGGUCGGCGUCACCGGUCUUCUAGCCAUCGUCGAUCCAAUUUUCAUUUUCCAUUUGUUUUGUCUUGUUUUCUUACACACCUGGUUUCCAUUUCCAUCAUUAAUUGUUGUGUAUUUAGCCCUCUGUUCCCCCCAUGUCCUUGUGUGGAAUUGUUUGUUUGUAAGUGCUUGUACGUUAUGUUACUGGUGCGUGUCAGGUUUUCUACCCAUGUAGGUUCUUUUGUAUUGCCAUGGGUUUUGUAAUUAAACUGCUCCGGCUAUUACCUAUCUCUGCUCUGCUGCUUCUGACUUCACUUCCACCAGUUCCGCAACCCUUACAAAUAUUGCAUCUUCAAUGGUAUUGUCAAUACCCAGAUCAGCACUCCAAUUCCUCCUCUACACUACAGUCUCUUUAAAGCCCUCUGUAAUAAGGGCUGAACCCGAUGACCCUCGAAUGUUUGUUAAUUUGAAUAAAGAGAGAGCCCGUGUGGAUCUGGAGAUCUCCUCUGCUGAAGUGACAGACUCUGCUCGUCCUACUGUAGGUUCAAGAAAAUCAAUUAUUAAAAUACUUUAUUGGACUUCACUCCAGCAUAUAACCUCAGCUACAAUAUGAUGGUUCUCUACACAGUUACUUUACUUUCUGCUCUGACAGGUUAGUAAAUGACUGUAUUCCUCUCAUUCUUUUAACCAAUGUAUAUCUGUAUUAUUGGAUUUUAGAGUAAAUACCAACAUCUGUCCUCAUUUCAAAUUCAUCUACCUUGUGAUUUAUCCAUCACCUCUUCACAUUUUCGGGUGACAGUUUUCAACAGACCAUCCAGCCAAACCAACAUGAAGUGUAGGAAGAGGAGGGUAGUAAUGUUCAACUUUCCUGCAACUACUCCUCAGCACACAGUGUACUGUGAUAUAAACAGCAUCAGCUCCCCAAUUCCUCCUCUUCAUCCUCCAUGCCUCUAGGACUGUAGUGAGAGCUAAACCUCCCUACACUCACUUUCCUAUUAAACUGAGCAAAGAGAAGACCUGUGGAUCUGGAGAUCUCCUUGCUGAAGUGAAAGACCCUUUAAUAAUGUUUACAUACAGCGCCUUGCGAAAGUAUUCGGCCCCCUUGAACUUUGCGACCUUUUGCCACAUUUCAGCCUUCAAACAAAGAUAUAAAACUGUAUUUUUUUUGUGAAGAAUCAACAACAAGUGGGACACAUUCGUGAAGUGGAACGACAUUUAUCGGAUAUUUCAAACUUGGGCGUGCAAAAUUAUUCAGCCCCUUUACUUUCAGUGCAGCAAACUCUCACCAGAAGUUCAGUGAGGAUCUCUGAAUGAUCCAAUGUUGACCUAAAUGAUGAUAAAUACAAUCCACCUGUGUGUAAUCAAGUCUCCGUAUAAAUGCACCUGCACUGUGAUAGUCUCAGAGGUCCG
ensembl:lncRNA